UACGUAGGGGGCUAGCGUUGUCCGGAAUCAUUGGGCGUAAAGAGCGUGUAGGCGGCCCGGUAAGUCCGCUGUAAAAGUCAAAGGCUCAACCUUUGAAUGUCAGUGGACACUGCCGGGCUAGAGUCCGGAAGAGGCGAGUGGAACUCCUGGUGUAGCGGUGGAAUGCGCAGAUAUCAGGAAGAACACCGGUGGCGAAGGCGGGUCUCUGGGCCGAUACUGACGCUGAGACGCGAAAGCGUGGGGAGCAAACAGG
rnacentral:rRNA from 1 species